rfam:Xylella fastidiosa PLS229 contig00007, whole genome shotgun sequence.
GCUGGGUUGGCCGAGCGGUGUAAGGCAGUCGUCUUGAAAACGAUCGAGGGCGAGUCCCCCUCCAUGAGUUUGAAUCUCGCAUCUACCG